GCCGCAGGUGUCCGGUUGUCUUCAUUCUCCGCCAGCCUGGAUCCGCUCCAGGUCAACUGGAACGGAUGGGAGGACAUCGGCCGUGGUCUGAGUGAACGGAGUUUGGACAAAAGCUGUGUGCACACAAAAACAAGGUAAGCAGACCUUUUAUUUCUGCUAUAUUGAACAUUAUAAAAAUACUUAGUGUCCAAACUCCUAGUAAUUCAUAACCAAAAUUGUCUGGCUUACUUAAGGCUUGUUGAGAAUCAGACAAGUGAAUAAGAAAUAAGUGAAUAAGUGAAUAAAGAUAAGAGUGAACUGAGGUCUGACCACGGUUGCAGCCGACGGGUUGCUCUCCGGUGUCGGAUAAAUACCUCAGUGCAGGUCUGGGACCUUGAAAGGGUUUAUUAGUAACGCCUUUCUAAACAAAUUAAAAGGUUAAAGGCCUUGAGAAUAUUUUUUAGUAAUAUUCUCUAAACUACAGAAGGGUUAGGAAGGCCCAGAGGACUUUAUUAGAAAAGAUCCUCUAAAA